AUAGCAACAGCAGCGUAGCUGAACAUCUUACGGAUGGCCCAGGGCUCCAAAGGCUCGUUUCCUAAGUGAGAGAGAGCCUGGCUGAAGCUGUAUUACCAUUCAUUCUCCAGCCUCCGAAGUCUCAAAGCAUCACUUCCACCAUACUCUAACUGUCAAGACAAACACAAAGGCCCAGAAACUGCCAGACUGUCUUCUGAAGUGGCUAUAAUAUUUACACUCCCAUCAGCAGUGUAGAAGGGGUCUCACUAUGUUGUCUGGAGUGCUGUGGUGGAGUGGAGUGGCUAUUCACAGAGCCUGUUCUGCUGGGACACAGAAUCACUUGCUCCAUCUCAUACAUUGAUGAUGAUUAAUUUGUAUGUGUACCUUCCAAAAAAGAUGGUUGUGUUUGAAUGGAGGCCUUCUGGACAGGAAAAUAUGGAGAGUGCGUGCUUUGGAUUCAAGACUGGGAAUGAGGGGACCAGAAACCUAUUCUGUGGCUGUUUCUUGUUAGGACUUUCCUAAGCCUCUGGAAAAGGUUCAAUCCUGCUGAUGCUCUCCAUGGAGAUGGUCAGCAAGUGCAAAGUACAAUUAACAUUUGAGUCUGUCUGAGUCAUGAAGAAAUGGAGAUUACUG
rnacentral:lncRNA from 10 species